rnacentral:misc_RNA from 1 species
GGUUAAUGGUCACUUCCAUUCUAUUUUAUUUUAAUAAUAUAAAGUCUUCAUAUUUUCAUUUUAAAAAUUUUAAGAAUUCAAUUGAUUAUUCUAAAAAGUCAACAUUUGGCCAAAAAGAAAAAAAGUAUCAUUAUUUCAUCACCAAGCAGACUACAGCAAUUGAUAGGCAGGGUGGCGAUUGAUUAGAUAUCCUAACUGCAACGGUGUCGUGGCCAGCCAAUACUAAACAUCGGACGGUGAAAAUUAUUCGACACUACGUCCCUCACAUGGAUCAUGGCUAACCAGUGAUUCCCACCUCAUUGAGUCCGUACGAUUGUGAGAUUGCCUCAUCAUAGAGUAUCCUAUAGUACAGGUUAUCAAAUGCUUGAUUUUCUACGAAGACAUUAAGAGUCCAUUCAAAAAUACCGAAUAGAAUGAAAUUUCCAAGCUUUAACACCAUGAUCACAGCCAAAUUGGAGGAAAACUAGAACCCAGAAAUCUAUUUACUCCUAUUUGUUAAACCAUCCAUACAUCGAACAUAUUAUGAUGUAAAGGCCAUCCGAACUUGCUAUUUCAACAUAGGAUCUAUUUCGAAUUUAGUUUACAUUUACCGAUUCGUACCGUUGUCUAAAUUUGAAACCAUUGCACCUUCUGGCUACAAUGACCAUAUAAAAAGAUUAUAAUAAGAGAGAGAGAGAGAGAGAUAUGAUACUUUGAAGUUUCUUUGGAUACAAACUCAAAGAGUUCUUUUUUUCUUUGUUAGGAUGAGUAGAUGUUUAUGGAGAGAGAGAGAGAGAG